GGCAGGGGCUUGCGCUCAGGCUUUCAGGUGCGGAGGAAGGUACCCUUCCGCCAAUACACAUCCCGCGGAUGUGGAACCUGUUACGGAUUUUGCGCAUUGAGCGAUCCAUACGGCGCAAGCC
rnacentral:sRNA from 1 species